rnacentral:misc_RNA from 1 species
UUAACUUAUUUAUAAGCUACUCAGAGAUGCCAAAAAAUCAAGAGUUGUAGGACUCCGGCGGGGUACCCGCAAGGGCUAGGCCCCAGAGGGGUCUGCCGCCGAAGAAACUGGUAGGUUCGUUCACAAAGGGUUAGGAGUUUUGCAACUCUGUAAUGAUCCCUCCGCUGGUUCACCAACGGAGA